UACAGAGGUCUCAAGCGUUGUUCGGAAUUACUGGGCGUAAAGGGCGCGUAGGCGGCCUGCUAAGUCGAACGUGAAAUCCCCGGGCUCAACCCGGGAACUGCGUCCGAUACUGGCAGGCUUGAAUUCGGGAGAGGGAUGCGGAAUUCCAGGUGUAGCGGUGAAAUGCGUAGAUACCUGGAGGAACACCGGUGGCGAAGGCGGCAUCCUGGACCGAAAUUGACGCUGAGGCGCGAAAGCCAGGGGAGCAAACGGG
rnacentral:rRNA from 1 species